rnacentral:misc_RNA from 1 species
UUUCCGUAGGUGAACCUGCGGAAGGAUCAUUACUGAGUUAGUCCUGUAAAAAGGACGAAUCUCCCACACUUUGUUUAAAAGAUUUUAUAAUUCUGGUGAUUCUUUACGAGUCCCGGGAGUUUUAUACUCUCUAUCUUCUCGCAAGAGAAGAUAUGGUUAAAACAAACAAAAUCAAAAAAACAUUAAAACUUUCAACAACGGAUCUCUUGGUUCUGGCAUCGAUGAAGAACGCAGC